AGCAGCCGCGGUAAUUCCAGCUCCAAUAGCGUAUAUUAAAGUUGUUGCAGUUAAAAAGCUCGUAGUUGAACUUCAGGCCUGUCCAGAUGGUCCGCCUUAAUUGGUGUGUACUGUCCUUGGGUGGGUCCUACCUUCUGGCGAAGCGGCAUGGCCUUAAUUGGUUGUGUUGGGGAACCAGGACUUUUACUGUGAAAAAAUUAGAGUGUUCAAAGCAGGCAAAUAUGCUCGAAUACAUUAGCAUGGAAUAAUGGAAUAGGACGAUGGUUCUAUUUUGUUGGUUCUAGGACCGUUGUAAUGAUUAAUAGGGAUAGUUGGGGGCAUUAGUAUUCAAUUGUCAGAGGUGAAAUUCUUGGAUUUAUUGAAGACUAACUACUGCGAAAGCAUUUGCCAAGGAUGUUUUCAUUAAUCAAGAACGAAAGUUAGGGGAUCGAAGACGAUCAGAUACCGUCGUAGUCUUAACCAUAAACUAUGCCGACUAGGAAUCGGGCGAUGUUGACAAAAUGACUCGCUCGGCACCUC
rnacentral:misc_RNA from 2 species